AUUAAGAGACCAAAGAAAGAGGACAGAGGCCUUGUCUACACUCAGUGUUCCCACCUGUAAACAUCUGAAUGAUUAGUAGCCUAACAUU
ensembl:snoRNA Gm23994 predicted gene, 23994